rnacentral:rRNA from 1 species
AUUGAACGCUGGCGGCAGGCCUAACACAUGCAAGUCGAGCGGAGCGGCGGACGGGUGAGUAAUGUAUAGGAAUGUGCCUGGUAGCGGGGGAUAACUACCCGAAAGCGUCGCUAAUACCGCAUACUAUCGGAUAGGCCUAGGUCGGAUUAGCUAGUUGGUGGGGUAAAGGCUCACCAAGGCGACGAUCCGUAGCUGGUCUGAGAGGAUGAUCAGCCACACUGGAACUGAGACACGGUCCAGACUCCUACGGGAGGCAGCAGUGGGGAAUAUUGGACAAUGGGCGAAAGCCUGAUCCAGCCAUGCCGCGUGUGUGAAGAAGGCCUUCGGGUUGUAAAGCACUUUAAGUUGGGAGGCGUUACCAGCAGAAUAAGCACCGGCUAACUUCGUGCCAGCAGCCGCGGUAAUAC